AGCGAACGCUGGCGGCAGGCCUAACACAUGCAAGUCGAACGAACCUUUCGGGGUUAGUGGCGGACGGGUGAGUAACACGUGGGAACGUGCCUUUAGGUUCGGAAUAACUCAGGGAAACUUGUGCUAAUACCGAAUGUGCCCUUCGGGGGAAAGAUUAAUCGCCUUUAGAGCGGCCCGCGUCUGAUUAGCUAGUUGGUUGAGGUAAUGGCUCACCAAGGCGACGAUCAGUAGCUGGUCUGAGAGGAUGAUCAGCCACAUUGGGACUGAGACACGGCCCAAACUCCUACGGGAGGCAGCAGUGGGGAAUCUUGCGCCAUGGGCGAAAGCCUGACGCAGCCAUGCCGCGUGAAUGAUGAAGGUCUUAGGAUUGUAAAAUUCUUUCCCCGGGGACGAUAAUGACGGUACCCGGAGAAGAAGCCCCGGCUAACUUCGUG
rnacentral:rRNA from 1 species